GGAGAGGUGGCGGAAUGGUAGACGCGCUACUUUGAGGGGGUAGUGGGCUUAGCCCGUGGGAGUUCGAGUCUCCUCCUCUUCA
rnacentral:tRNA from 1 species